GACGAACGCUGGCGGCGUGCUUAACACAUGCCAGUCGAACGGAAAGGCCCUGCUUUUGUGGGGUGCUCGAGUGGCGAACGGGUGAGUAACACGUGAGUAGCCUGCCCUUGACUUUGGGAUAACUUCAGGAAACUGGGGCUAAUACCGGAUAGGAGCUCCUGCUGCAUGGUGGGGGUUGGAAAGUUUCGGCGGUUGGGGAUGGACUCGCGGCUUAUCAGCUUGUUGGUGGGGUAGUGGCUUACCAAGGCUUUGACGGGUAGCCGGCCUGAGAGGGUGACCGGCCACAUUGGGACUGAGAUACGGCACAGACUCCUACGGGAGGCAGCAGUGGGGAAUAUUGCACAAUGGGCGGAAGCCUGAUGCAGCAACGCCGCGUGCGGGAUGACGGCCUUCGGGUUGUAAACCGCUUUCGCCUGUGACGAAGCGUGAGUGACGGUAAUGGGUAAAGAAGCACCGGCUAACUACGUG
rnacentral:rRNA from 1 species